GUCUUCUUGGUGGAGUUGGUUACCACGUGAGUCUCAUAUUGAUUUAUGAUGUUGCCCGCGCAACAGCGAUCUCAAGGUCGCCAGUUCGAUCCUGGCAGAGGACA